rnacentral:rRNA from 1 species
CCCAGACUCCUACGGGAGGCAGCAGUGAGGAAUAUUGGUCAAUGGUCGGGAGACUGAACCAGCCAAGCCGCGUGAGGGAGGAAGGUACAGAGUAUCGUAAACCUCUUUUGUCAGGGAACAAAGACUGGGACGCGUCCCCGGAUGAGUGUACCUGAAGAAAAAGCAUCGGCUAACUCCGUGCCAGCAGCCGCGGUAAUACGGAGGAUGCGAGCGUUAUCCGGAUUUACUGGGUGUAAAGGGAGCGUAGACGGUUACGCAAGUCUGGAGUGAAAGGCGGGGGCCCAACCCCCGGACUGCUUUGGAAACUGUAUAACUGGAGUGCAGGAGAGGUAAGUGGAAUUCCUAGUGUAGCGGUGAAAUGCGUAGAUAUUAGGAGGAACACCAGUGGCGAAGGCGGCUUACUGGACUGUAACUGACGUUGAGGCUCGAAAGCGUGGGGAGCAAACAGGAUUAGAUACCCUAGUA